GAAGAGAAUGUGUAUUGAAUAGAAUGAGCCAAAAACGGAAGCGUAAUGAAAAUGGUAUGCAUUGGCUUUAUUGAGACAAAGUGAUCAAUGAAUGUUUGUGGCUAAAAUACCAUUAAUGUGUUGAAAGAUGGGAUAUAGAGCAUUUAGUAUGCAUCAAGGACAAGCCAGCUAUGAUUGGGAAAGUUCAAAAUAAGCAGCCAAACAAUGUUGAGAAGUAGAGGACAACCCCACGAGAAUUG
rnacentral:lncRNA from 1 species